UUUGUUCUUUGAAUUUUUUUUGUUGUCUGUCCCCCUCCUCACCUCAGUUUCUUUAACCACCGGCGGCCAUGUGAUUUACCUGUGAGCUACCAUUUUAGUAACAGACACACACACACAUACACACGAAAAAGAAGAAGACACGCAUCGUCUUUGUCGCCGUGCCCUGCCGAAACGAUUAAAGUCCAAUCGGAGCACUAACCGAAGAACCACAUACAGCUUCAACUCUAUAGUCAUCAUGAAAGCUACAUAUUUUCAUACUUGUGUCUAUACCGUCUAGUGUUUGUGUGUGUGUGUGUAUGUGUUAGUUAUUAUUCCGUCUCGGUGGAAGACGAGAGAGCUCACAGAGUCACGCAUCUAAUUAAAUCCAAUCAUCGAUAUUAAAAUACCAUUAGAGCAACGGCAGCGUGUUCCUCUCUCGUCUCCUAAAAAUACGUUUCAAUUUCUGUUGUUGUUUAGUUAACCUGCCUGCCUUUCGACUGGAAAACAUAGGGGGGGAGGAGACUUGUCAUCAAGGUGCGAUGCUGCUGUCCCGUAUUUUUGCUGCGACUGCACAUCCUGCACAAGUCCAUCAUCGUCACGAACGCAUCAUAUCCUCUGAAUCUUGGGAAAAACUCGCAUCCGCAUCAUCUUGCUCGUAUGCAUAAAUACAGACGCACAACAACAACAAGAAAAAAAAAAAUAAAUAAAAAAUACAAAUGGAAAAAUAAGGAUGAGAGAGAGAGACGUGAUCGGAUGACCACGCACGAUGGCCCGCGAACAAACUAUUGUUGUGUACCCGAGAAAAAAAUAAAAAUACAUGAGCCAGCGUAGACGUA